rnacentral:rRNA from 1 species
CUGGUAGUGGGGGAUAACGUCCGGAAACGGGCGCUAAUACCGCAUACGUCCUGAGGGAGAAAGUGGGGGAUCUUCGGACCUCACGCUAUCAGAUGAGCCUAGGUCGGAUUAGCUAGUUGGUGGGGUAAAGGCCUACCAAGGCGACGAUCCGUAACUGGUCUGAGAGGAUGAUCAGUCACACUGGAACUGAGACACGGUCCAGACUCCUACGGGAGGCAGCAGUGGGGAAUAUUGGACAAUGGGCGAAAGCCUGAUCCAGCCAUGCCGCGUGUGUGAAGAAGGUCUUCGGAUUGUAAAGCACUUUAAGUUGGGAGGAAGGGCAGUAAGUUAAUACCUUGCUGUUUUGACGUUACCAACAGAAUAAGCACCGGCUAACUUCGUGCCAGCAGCCGCGGUAAUACGAAGGGUGCAAGCGUUAAUCGGAAUUACUGGGCGUAAAGCGCGCGUAGGUGGUUCAGCAAGUUGGAUGUGAAAUCCCCGGGCUCAACCUGGGAACUGCAUCCAAAACUACUGAGCUAGAGUACGGUAGAGGGUGGUGGAAUUUCCUGUGUAGCGGUGAAAUGCGUAGAUAUAGGAAGGAACACCAGUGGCGAAGGCGACC